CCUACGGGUGGCAGCAGUGAGGAAUAUUGGGCAAUGGAGGAAACUCUGACCCAGCAACGCCGCGUGAAUGAUGACGGUCUUAGGAUUGGAAAGUUCUUUUUUAAGGGAAGAAGAAAGUGACGGUACCUUAGGAAUAAGCCUCGGCUAACUACGUGCCAGCGGCCGCGGUAAUACGUAGGAGGCGAGCGUUAUCCGGAAUGACGCGGCGUAAAGGGUGCGUAGGUGGGUUGACAAGUUGGUAGCGUAACUCCGGGGCUCAACCUCGGCACUACUACCAAAACUGUCGGACUUGAGUGCAGGUGGGGCAAGUGGAAUUCGUAGUGUAGCGGUGGAAUGCGUAGAUAUUAGGAGGAACACCAGUGGCGAAGGCGAUUUGCUGGACUGUAACUGACACUGAGGCACGAAAGCGUGGGGAGCAAACAGGAUUAGAUACCCGAGUAGUC
rnacentral:rRNA from 1 species